GUGGGGAAUAUUGCACAAUGGGCGCAAGCCUGAUGCAGCGACGCCGCGUGAGGGAUGACGGCCUUCGGGUUGUAAACCUCUUUCAGUAUCGACGAAGCGCAAGUGACGGUAGGUACAGAAGAAGCACCGGCCAACUACGUGCCAGCAGCCGCGGUAAUACGUAGGGUGCGAGCGUUGUCCGGAAUUACUGGGCGUAAAGAGCUCGUAGGUGGUUUGUCGCGUUGUUCGUGAAAACUCACAGCUCAACUGUGGGCGUGCGGGCGAUACGGGCAGACUGGAGUACUGCAGGGGAGACUGGAAUUCCUGGUGUAGCGGUGGAAUGCGCAGAUAUCAGGAGGAACACCGGUGGCGAAGGCGGGUCUCUGGGCAGUAACUGACGCUGAGGAGCGAAAGCGUGGGGAGCGAACAGGAUUAGAUACCCUUGUAGUCC
rnacentral:rRNA from 1 species